CCAGACUCCUACGGGAGGCAGCAGUGGGGAAUAUUGCACAAUGGGGGAAACCCUGAUGCAGCGACGCCGCGUGAGUGAAGAAGUAAUUCGUUAUGUAAAGCUCUAUCAGCAGGGAAGAAACAGACGGUACCUGAGUAAGAAGCCCCGGCUAACUACGUGCCAGCAGCCGCGGUAAUACGUAGGGGGCAAGCGUUAUCCGGAUUUACUGGGUGUAAAGGGAGCGUAGACGGUAUGGCAAGUCUGAAGUGAAAGCCCAGGGCUUAACCCUGGGACUGCUUUGGAAACUGUUAGACUAGAGUGCUGGAGAGGUAAGUGGAAUUCCUAGUGUAGCGGUGAAAUGCGUAGAUAUUAGGAGGAACACCAGUGGCGAAGGCGGCUUACUGGACAGUAACUGACGUUGAGGCUCGAAAGCGUGGGGAGCAAACAGGAUUAGAUACCCGGGUAUGA
rnacentral:rRNA from 1 species